rnacentral:rRNA from 1 species
GACGAACGCUGGCGGCGUGCUUAACACAUGCAAGUCGAACGGUAAGGCCCUUUCGGGGGUACACGAGUGGCGAACGGGUGAGUAACACGUGGGUGAUCUGCCCUGCACUUUGGGAUAAGCCUGGGAAACUGGGUCUAAUACCGGAUAGGACUACGCGAUGCAUGUCGUGUGGUGGAAAGCUUUUGCGGUGUGGGAUGGGCCCGCGGCCUAUCAGCUUGUUGGUGGGGUGAUGGCCUACCAAGGCGACGACGGGUAGCCGGCCUGAGAGGGUGUCCGGCCACACUGGGACUGAGAUACGGCCCAGACUCCUACGGGAGGCAGCAGCGGGGAAUAUUGCACAAUGGGCGCAAGCCUGAUGCAGCGACGCCGCGUGGGGGAUGACGGCCUUCGGGUUGUAAACCCCUUUCAGCACAGACGAAGCGUAAGUGACGGUAUGUGCAGAAGAAGCACCGGCCAACUACGUG